rnacentral:tRNA from 1 species
GGGCCUAUAGCUCGGAGCUGGUAGUAGAGCGCACGCCUGAUAAGCGUGAGGUCGGUGGUUUGAGUCCACUUAGGCCCACCA